GGAUACUCCGGAAGACAAUAUUUCUCAGCCUCCUUGAGGUUAGGUUAGGACUGAGUUUUAUGUGAUGGAAUUUUGGCCAAUGGAAUCUUUGGUAGGCAGCCUGAAAUUGCUCAUCAAGGAAAAAGACCAGACUCGGAUUUUAAAUGGCUUCUUCUGAAUGAAGCAAUUAAUGCUAAAAGGAACAUGUUGUCUUAUCAGCAUUUAUAAGGAUUAUUUAUGAGGAUGGCCUGUGCAAAAAGACACCCAGAGAUUUCAUGCUGUUGAUUCACAGAAAGCCUGUUCCUCUUCACUCCGUAGAGUCCUCAGAGUCUGGAUCAUCCCUUACAGAAGAUCCUUGAUAAUAUUUCUGA
rnacentral:lncRNA from 10 species